rnacentral:tRNA from 14 species
GGCGGUGUAGCUCAGUGGUAGAGCAAACGACUCAUAAUCGUUGUGUCGGCAGUUCGAUCCUGCCCAUCGCUA